rnacentral:rRNA from 1 species
UGCGUAGGCGGCCGACUAAGUUCAAGGUGAAAGCGUGGGGCUCAACCCCAUAAAGCCUUGGAUACUGGUUGGCUGGAGUACUGGAGAGGGUAGUGGAAUUCCAUGUGUAGCGGUAAAAUGCGUAGAUAUAUGGAGGAACACCGGAGGCGAAGGCGGCUACCUGGACAGUAACUGACGCUGAGGCACGAAAGCGUGGGGAGCGAAUAGGA